UCCUGACCCUAGCCAUUCCUCCCCUCCCCUAUCUUCCUUGAUCUUUAAUUUUUCUUUCUUCUUCCAUUGUUGUUGUCAACCAUAACACCUAGUUUUAUCAUCUCUUACUUUUUAUUUUUUUCCUCAAGAUUGUGCAUCAUAUCCUUUACCAUAUUGCUAUCAUUUCUCCUCAAUUAAAUCAGCCCCAAAUCUGAAAUCUUAAACUCCUAGAUCAAUUUCAAGCAUUGCCAAGAAAGUGCUAUUGCCGUCUCUCUCAACUAGCUUGUGUGCUGACUCGAACGCCCCAAAUAAACCGUAAAGCCGAAAGACGUUCGCGCGUACAAUUUGCAUCAAAACAGUGUUCAUUUUAAGGUUUAUUAAAGAAAUCGGAAGAUUCGCUAGUAUGCUGCGAAAAAGCAUAAAAUAAGGUGUGGGUCCUAAACUCAUAAACUUGUUUGAUAAUGAUAAUUACCAUAUUAUAUUUGAUGAUUUAGCUUGCUGAUUGGGUUGGCUUAAUAGCCAAAUAAUUAAUUUUGUAAAUAGUUGAAUCAGGUACAUUUUGAACCCUAAAAGAUUAAUGUGUUAUCAAA